rnacentral:rRNA from 1 species
GGAUUCCCCUAGUAACGGCGAGUGAAGCGGGAAGAGCUCAAAUUUAAAAUCUGGCAAUCUUUGGUUGUCCGAAUUGUAAUCUAGAGAAGCGUUUUCCGUGCUGGACUGUGUACAAGUUUCCUGGAUACGGAACAUCAUAGAGGGUGAGAAUCCCGUCCUUGACACAGACUCCCAGCACUUUUGUGAUGCGCUCUCGACGAGUCGAGUUGUUUGGGAUUGCAGCUCAAAAUGGGAGGUAAAUUCCUUCUAAAGCUAAAUAUUGGCGAGAGACCGAUAGCGAACAAGUACCGUGAGGGAAAGAUGAAAAGCACUUUGGAAAGAGAGUUAAACAGUACGUGAAAUUGUUAAAAGGGAAACGCUUGAAGUCAGUCACGUUUGCUUGGACUCAGCCUUACUUCGGUUUGGUGCAUUUCCUUGCAGACGGGCCAGCGUCCAUGUCAAUUGCCGGAAAAGGGGUGAGAGAAUGUGGCUCCUUUGGGAGUGUUAUAGCUCUCACUCGUAUGCGGGGAAUGAUAUGGAGUGGUACAGCACACUUCGGUGGUGCUUGUGCUGGCAUAAUGGCUUUAAACGACCCGUCUUGAAACACGGACCAAGGAGUCUAACAUGUCUGCGAGUAUUUGGGUGGAAAACCCAGGUGCGUAAUGAAAGUGACAGCUGGGAACCCCUUCUGGGAGGCACCGGCACCCCGAGCUGACCUUCUGUGACGCAUCGGAGGCAGAGCAUAUAUGUUGGGACCCGAAAGAUGGUGAACUAUGCCUGAAUAGGGCGAAGCCAGAGGAAACUCUGGUGGAGGCUCGUAGCGAUUCUGACGUGCA